UAAAGGGCUAGGAGCAUUCAAGGUCAGUUGGAUUGGACUCUAGGCAACCUGAUCCAGUUAGACACAUCCCUGUUUAUUACAGGGAGUUUGGACUAGAAGAGCUUUAAGGGUGUCUUCCAAUGCAAACUUGUCUAUGGUUUCAUGACUAUCACCAACUGGAUAUAAAAGAGACGCUAACCGUCUAGUAUUUAACAGCAUCAGUGUUAGAAGAGGAACAGCUAGUUGAGUCAAAAUUCAAAUAAGUCAGAGUAAAUCUGUCAAUCUGGGUCUCUUUCUUUUGUCCAGUUUGCCUUCAGGCUAAGGAGACCUGUAACAAUUGGCUGUUGGGUGUUCUUGUGUCACCUUAUCAUGGCAAGCAGCAGAGCUCAUGAGCUGGGGGAAGAAGAAAAGAGCUACUUGUGCAAUGUGCUGUUUAUAAUAUUCAGAGCUAACAAGGUGGGACAGAGAAGCACAGCAAAGCUGUCAAGCAUAGCUUUGACCUAUGCAAUUUAGUUCCCAGAAGCAAUGUCCUCACAGCCUGGGUUAGCUUCUUCCAUUUCUUAUGUAGAAGAAAUAAACAAAAUAAUAUAUCCCCACCUGUUGAGGGCUGACAUAAAACUUUUUCCCUCUUAGAGAUACAGCUGACUCCCAGGGCA